CUGCUCAAUGAAUAUUAAAUAGCUGCAGUAUAAAUAACUGUACUAAGGUAGCAUAAUAAAUUGUUUUUUAAUUAAAAACUUGAAUGAAAGAUUUAAUGAAAAAUUAACUUUAUUUAUUUUAAAUUUUAAAUUUUUAUUUAAAUAAAAAAAUUUAAUUAAAUUAAAUAAACAAAAAGACCCUAAAAACUUUAUAAAUUUUUAAAAAAUUUAUUUAAUUGGGGAAAUUAAAAAAAUUAAUUAAUUUUUUUAUUAACAAACAAUAAUUAUUGAAUAAAAUAAUUUUUUUUAAAUAAUUAAUUAAGUUACUUUAGGGAUAACAGUAUAAUUUUUUUUUUUAG
rnacentral:rRNA from 1 species